rnacentral:misc_RNA from 1 species
GAAAUAUGUACCUGCAACACUAUUCGCUGGCCUUUGCAGUCAAGGAGAUUUCGGUGAGCAAAGAAUCGUCCCGAGGCCCAACGCGGCUGAACCACUUGCAGCAACAGCAGCAACAGCAACAACAGCAGCAGCAGCAGCAGCAACAACAACAACAGCAACAGAUACUAUCGGUCGGGCCGUUGAAACGGCACAGCGGUGAUUACUCGCAACCGAGAUACGUCCACAGCGGUAAAAUUCUCCUAUCAAAGCCGAAGAUGCACAUAGAGGUGCAGGUGGCGUUAAACUUCGUGAUAUCGUACCUGUAUAACAAGCUGCCACGUCGGAGAGUCAACAUAUUCGGCGAGGAGCUCGAAAAAGCGUUGAAGGACAAGUUCAAGGGGCACUGGUACCCCGAAAAGCCGUUCAAGGGCUCCGCGUUCCGUUGCCUCAAGACCGGCGACCCGGUCGACCCGGUCCUCGAACGUGCGGCCAAGGAGAGCGGCGUCCCUAUCCAGGACAUCCUCGAGAACCUUCCGGCCGAGCUCGCCGUCUGGGUAGAUCCCGGCGAGGUGAGCUACCGCAUCGGCGAGAAGGGCGCCGUCAAGAUCCUCUACUCCGAGGCAGCCGAUCCCCACGACGAGAGCUCUGCUGACCGCGAGGUCACCAAGACCUUCAACCCCGAGGCCCAAUGCUUCAGACCCAUCGAGGCCGUCGGCACGUCCCUUGGCGGACUCAGCCUCAGCCCCAAGUCCACCUCACCCUUCCCAUCCUCCGUUGGCAGUAGCACCAGCUCCGGAUCCUCCACCAACCAGCAGAACGGCCAUGGAUCUGGAUCCUCGUCCGCACCCUCGCCGACUCCCAUCGCCAAUUCCUUCAAGGGAUCGCCGAGCCCCGUUCCUGCGUUCAUCCCGAGGUCCGCGGCUCCCCUGACCUUCACCACGGCCACGUUCGCCCAGACAAAAUUCGGCAGCACCAAACUCAAAACCAGCAGCAAGAGGGCUAACAGAUCUGACGGUUUCAGAAUGUCGCCGACCGAGUUCUCAAACUACAUAAAGCAGCGAGCGAUGCAGCAGCAGAUCCACCACCACCACCACCAUCACCAGCCAGCGGGACUUCCGGUCUCCCAGAAUUCACCGACGAGCCGAUCCCUCUCGCCUGGCGUGAUCGGCAGCCAGCAGCCGGCCGGGGAUUCGAACGGCUACUUCUUCCAGCACGGUCCCUACCACCCCCAGUUUCCCCACCGCAACAUAUUCGAGACGGCAGCAGCGGCCUCGAGCCACGCCGGCUACCUUCCGGAGCUUUACGGGGCGGCAAAGUUCCCCUCGGCUUACCUGGACCCGACGGCGAUCGGACACCAGUUUUACGGCGGCGUCGCCGGCUCCCAGACAUCGGCGAACCUCGGCCCCGUCGGCUCGACGACAAACGGGGCGAAUUCGCACCAGGAGAAGAGUCUCGUCGAGGGGUUGAACAACUUCGGCCUUGGCUCCGUCGCGCCUUACUCAACGAGCCAGUAUCAGCAGCAUCUUCUCGUCGCCAACUAAUAUCCCGCUCAUCUGGAUCCGCGAACUCGACCACCUCGACCCUCCUCAGCGAAAAGUGUUAAUAUCGAUACGUUGACACCCUGGAAUGACACUAUAAGGGGGCAGAGGAACCAGUAACCAUGUCACAUGUCUCAAAAACAGCGCAGCUACACCUUGUACAUGAUCUUAAAUGAUAGAUUUAUGAUAGUUAUAUUUAAAUUAAUAAUUAUUGUAAUUAAUUUUCGCAAUAUAUUCCAUCUCACGGAAUGGAGAUGUAAGUAAGGUGGUUAAAAAGAAAAUCCGGCAUCAUUAAUUGCGGUGUUUGUAUCGAUCAAAUGUAUUGUUUUCAAUGUUGUAUAAUAACAAUUGGAUCGGAGGUAUAAUCAUGCGCAGGACGCAGUAAGCCAAUUUAAUAUAUUAUCACAAUGAUACGUAUUUAAUAUAAUAUAUAGACAUUAUUAUAUCGAUACCUAUUCUAAUUCUGAUUCAAACAUCAGACAUACGAUAUACAUAACAUAUAUUUUCACCGCAAAGUGUCCUGCAUUCUGCGCAGGGGAAUAAAAAGAACUUCGAAUAACAUUUGCACCGAGAAUAUUGACGGUGGACUCGUGUUUCGUUGUCUACCGGUAAAAUUUUAUUUCUAAUACUUGAAACAUUGCGAAUGAAGUAUCGUUAAUUUAAAAUUAAUAUAUAUAAUAAAAAUUUAGAUGAACGGUAAAUUUAUUUCAACAUUCCGAUGAACUUAUUUUUUAUCAUUGUACGCCGUAAAUGCGAAACGCGCAUCGAUCAUAAUCUGUGAGUGCAGAUGUUAUUCGCGAGUACAGGAAAGAUUUAUUUUACUACGUAUAGUAAGGAAUUGAUGAAGAAUCGUUGUGAAAUUUCUUAUUAAACAGUCGAUCGAUGAUCUAUGCGCUUAGAAAAACAAAAACGGAGAAAAAUGAAUCGAUAAAAACCAUUUAAUUAAAAAUCCUGUAAUUUUGUUUAAUCGUCUUGACGUUAAUAAGAUUGGAAUGUUUUAAAAUAAAAAUUUUCAUGCUAUACUUGCAUCAAAGUACGUAUACGUGAAAUCGGGAGAAAAAUAUUAUCAGGCAAUUAAAUAUACGGCUGUCAUUGACUGUGACUUACUACAUACACCGAUAUGGAAGUAUGUAGCCUAUGAAAUUUCUCUCUCUCUCUCUCUCUCUCUCUCUCUAUCUAUCUCUCUCUUUCUUUCUGUACGGUACAACAUUCUAAAUUAACAUCAAGACGAGGAGGAACAGACAAGUCUCUGGUCUUGAAUGAAAAUCUUGAAAAUCGACAGAAUGUAGGCUCACGCGUUAUUAUUGGCCCGCAUACAGGAUGAUUAAAGCAAAAUAAGAAGGAAAAGAAACCCAAAAAAAAAAAAAAAAAAAACCAAAAAAACCAAAAAAAAAAAUAAUGGACUCAAUGCUAAGAAUUUUCCUAAUAUUGUGAACAAAUUUCGUGAACGUAGUUUAUAGUCCCGGAAUAAAAGCACUCAACGCACGCGAUGAAAACUGUUCUGCGACUAUCAUUUGCCGGAAUUAAAACGUUGGGUGGAAAAGUAUUUUUUUCCAACUAUCCGCAAUUCACUGAAAAAAAAAAAUCGAAUUGAGGCAAAUAUUCGUAAAUUUACCCACCAGACAUAACAAAAGUAAUGAGAAAUGAAAAUCGUUUCUCAAGUUCUGGACGGUACUUGUAUUAUUCUACUCUAGUAUUUCUGUGUGUGAAUGAAGUCGCAGAGAUUACAGUGCCGUAUGAAAAAGAGAUCAGAGCAAGAUCUGGCCUAAAUUAUGUGUCAUCAAUGUGUUAUAAUUAUAUACUUACCUUACAUCGCUAAAAUACAUAUGCAUACAUAUACGUAUCGGUAUAGAUAUGCGAUACGUGAAACUGAAAAAAAUACCAGACGUACGUGUGUAAGUAUAUUAUACAUUAUACCUAUACCUCUAUGUAUAUGCAUAUUGUAUAUAAAUGUAUAUAAAUAUAUAUAAAUACAUAUAUAUUUAUAUGCAUACAUAUUUUAUGAACUAACAAACACGUACAUAAUGAUAUAAUGAUAUAUUACUAAAUAUCAAUAAUUACCUUUUUGAUUGUAAGACGUAGCAAGGAGCCGUGCGACGGUCAAGUUUAUAUUUCUAUACUUAGUGAGAAACGGAACUUUCCAUUCCGUUAUAAUAUUGAAACAUUCAAAAUGAAAAUGACAAAAAAAAGUAAAAACACAAAAAAAAAGUUGAAAAAAGGGAUAUAUAUAUAUCAUAUAUGUGUAUAAUAGUCUAUAAUUUUUCAUAUUGUUGUACGAAUUUUUAAGUUUAUAUUAAAAUGUUUUGUGCAUUCAUAAUUAACCAUUUAAUGUGUA